rnacentral:lncRNA from 1 species
GCGAGAGAUUGCUGCCAGGCCUCGGAACCAGCAUGGCAGAGGGAGAGAGCUGACUCCUGUGAUCACAGAAGGCAGAAAACACUCUAAGGAACAGAAAGACUGCCAACUUGGAAUUACCUGGAGUAGUCAAGAAGGAAAAAGGAAAGUGAGAGCAGCUGGCAUUGUGCACAGCAGGCCUCCGCCACUCACAGAAUUUGAGGUCUCACCAAGACUACUUCUCACUACCUCUGGUCCAAGGCAAGACUAUCUAUCUGCUUUGCUCUCCUGGUCUUAGAAAACUCACCCAUCUUCAAAAAUAUAAGUUUAACAAAGACAUGAGGCAGAAGAAAGAAUUACUGCAAAGGAUCCAGAGACUGCA